rnacentral:rRNA from 1 species
AAAUGAAUAGACGGGGACCCGCACAAGCAGCGGAGCAUGUGGUUUAAUUCGAAGCAACGCGAAGAACCUUACCAGAACUUGACAUCCCUCUGACAGGCUUUUAAUCGAGCCCUUCUUCGGACAGAGGAGACAGGUGGUGCAUGGUUGUCGUCAGCUCGUGUCGUGAGAUGUUGGGUUAAGUCCCGCAACGAGCGCAACCCUUGUCAUUAGUUGCCAUCAUUAAGUUGGGCACUCUAAUGAGACUGCCGGGGAUAACUCGGAGGAAGGUGGGGAUGACGUCAAAUCAUCAUGCCCCUUAUGUUCUGGGCUACACACGUGCUACAAUGGUCGGUACAAAGAGACGCAAAAUCGUGAGGUGGAGCAAAUCUAGAAAACCGAUCCCAGUUCGGAUUGUAGGCUGCAACUCGCCUACAUGAAGUCGGAGUUGCUAGUAAUCGCAGAUCAGAAUGCUGCGGUGAAUGCGUUCCCGGGUCUUGUACACACCGCCCGU